CUUGAGGAAUGAUGACAGCAAAAGGCCAAAUUGCCAGUGCCUCCAAAUUUCAGUUUGCCCUCUGU
rnacentral:snoRNA from 1 species